rnacentral:rRNA from 1 species
CCUGGAACGGGACGCCUUAGAGGGUGAGAGCCCCGUACGGUUGGACACCAAGCCUCUGUAAAGCUCCUUCGACGAGUCGAGUAGUUUGGGAAUGCUGCUCUAAAUGGGAGGUAAAUUUCUUCUAAAGCUAAAUACCGGCCAGAGACCGAUAGCGCACAAGUAGAGUGAUCGAAAGAUGAAAAGCACUUUGAAAAGAGGGUUAAAUAGCACGUGAAAUUGUUGAAAGGGAAGCGUUUACGGCCAGACCUUUUCCUGGCGGAUCAUCCUGUGUUCUCACUGGUGCACUCCGCUAGGUUUAGGCCAGCAUCGGCUUCUGUAGGGGGAUAAAAGCCCUGGGAAAGUAGCUCUCUAGGGAGUGUUAUAGCCCUAGGCAUAAUACCCUUACGGGGGCCGAGGACCGCGCUCUGCAAGGAUGCUGGCGUAAUGGUCGUCAACGACCCGUCUUGAAACACGGACCAAGGAGUCGAACAUUUGUGCGAGUGUUUGGGUGUCAAACCCUCACGCGUAAUGAAAGUGAACGGAGGUGAGAGCCCUUUACGGGGUGCAUCAUCGACCGAUCCUGAUGUCUUCGGAUGGAUUUGAGUAAGAGCAUAAAUGUUCGGACCCGAAAGAUGGUGAACUAUGCGUGGAUAGGGUGAAGCCAGAGGAAACUCUGG